rnacentral:rRNA from 1 species
AGCAGCCGCGGUAAUUCCAGCUCCAAUAGCGUAUAUUAAAGUUGUUGCAGUUAAAAAGCUCGUAGUUGAAUUUCGGGGGUUAGUAGGUUGGUCGUGCCACUGGUACGUACUGGUCUCACUGACUCCUCCUUCCUGAUGAACUGUAAUGCCAUUAAUUUGGUGUUGCGGGGAAACUGGACUGUUACUUUGAAAAAUUAGAGUGUUUAAAGCAAGCUAACGCUUGAAUACAUUAGCAUGGAAUAAUGAAAUAGGACGUUCGAUCCUAUUUGUUGGUUUCUAGGAUUGACGUAAUGAUUAAUAGGGAUAGUUGGGGGCAUUAGUAUUCAAUUGUCAGAGGU